CGAGAGAGGGCUGUGGGUGGGGGUAGGGAGCUGAGGGUGUGCUCUGCGCACGCGCCGGAACCACACUGCGGCGAUCCCGCAGAGGCAGUCCUUUCCUGGCGUCAGCGCAGCAGCUGGCCCUUCGCCUGUUGUUCACUGCCUCCUUGUUCUGCUGCUGCCACCCUGGCAACCCGAACUCAGUGCCGCCGUUCCCUGCACCCUGUCUUGGGACGUCCGGCGCCAAGAAUUCGUGCUGCGACGUUCCAUUCAGCUAAGGAGGUGACACCAAAUGUGAUCAGAAACCGUGCCACUGGUGAAGAGGUGAGCCCUGCCUGGCCUAGCAAGGUUACUAAAGAAUUGAAAAAGGAUCAAAUCAGCGUCUUGCAGGUGGUUAUCAAACCAUUGUGAAGUCUUGCAUUUUACAGAAGUCUACCAGAUCUUCCACAUGUGUGAACAGGCAGAAGAGGGAGUCCUCUCAGUGAUUAACACGUGAUUAAGUCACAGAAGCUGCAGCGCAUUCUCUGAGGGCCCUGAAGCAUGGUUUGUUCCCAUGGAAAAGAACCUGAUGAAAGACUGAUAAUGUGAACAUGUUCCUCGCAGCAGGCCUCAGUGUUUAGCUUUGGAAGUUCAGGCCUCUCUACCUUAGGUCUUCAGUCGCCGUUUGACUUCUCAUCUCGUCCACUGAGGAUUGCAGAGUUAAGUCAGGAAAGAAAAUGGCUGUGCACAGAGGGAGAACUGAGCACACUGUUCUUCAAGGAUACCUCUGUGGGUUGGGGCUGUUAAUGCUCACUGUCUUGACAGACCUACUUGAACAGGGAGACCUGUAAAAACAACUUGCCAAGUUCUUACCACAUGUACCAUUGGAAUUGCAAACGGAAUGGAAUGGAAUAUAUAGAUUAAUUUUUGGAGAGCUAUAAUCUUUAUAACUUCAUACAUGAAUGUGCUUCUCUCUGCUGCCUUUUGAGCUGCCAGGCACUAUGCUGGGUGAUGGGGAUAUGGAGAUGAAUUAGACACAGUCCCUGCCCUCAAGGAGUUCUCAGUCUAAUGAGAGAGUUCAACAUGUACACAGAUGUUUACAGCAGUAUGGUAUGCUCUACAAUGGAGAGGGAUUUAAGAAUGUUCAUGGCUACACUUCCAAGCAAAAUAUGUUCAAUAAUUGAAAAUUUAAACAUUCAAUGUUUAUUUUCUCUUUUCUCAAUGUAAUAUAAAUACAACAUUCUUUGUGAAACUGAUUCAGAGAAUGGCUUUCUGUGACUACAAUUAUUGAUGGGAGGUCAUAUUUAGACAUGUAUUUUCAGUGGACCUUAUGUUACUAGCCAUCCUGAAGGGCAGUAGGGUGGAGAAGGGUUGGGAAAAAAAGUCCUGUGUAGGGCAUGAAGGCAGUACAGUGAGAGUUUGAGUGUCAGGACUAGAUAGCCUGGGUUCAAAUCUGCUCUACACUUACCAACGUGAUCUUGUUCAUGGUUUUUCACCUUGCUGGGACUUUAUUUCCUUUUAUGUAAAAUAGGGGUAAUAACCUUUUUUGCACUGAUUUGGGGGGAAGGGAAAUAUAAAGAUUUAAUGGAAUUUAUAUGUAAAUUUCUUAAAAGAGUCUGGAAUAUGAUAAGUGCCAAAUCAACUAUAUUUGUUGCUGAUAAUGAAUGGAGACCAUGACAUGGAUUAAAAGAAGAUAGUUAACUCGAGUUAUUUAUAUUUUACAUCAUGAAUGAGGAUGUCGGAGUGUGAGAAAGUAAGAAAAACUAAGUGACCCUAAGGUUUUCAAUGGUAUAUAAGUGUGAAGCCACUUCUCUGCCUUUUUUUUUUCUGUCAAAUAGGUUGGGAAACCAGAUGAAUUGUGUGUAUGUGCCCUGAUCACUAAUCUUUUGCCUUUGCUUUUUUUUUCCAAAUAGAAAACUGUUAAAAGUUGCAUUAUACUUGAAUAAAGGUUAUCUCUGAAAAGUAGAAAAUGCUUUGUAGUUCGUCAAAACUGGAUUUAAAACCUGACUCAUCUAUUUGAUAGCUGUGUGAUCUAAGCCAUGUCAGUUAACCUCACUGAACCACAGUGUCUUCAUCUGAUAUAAUAAUUAAUUUUAAGGGCUUAUACGAGGAUAUUUGUAAAGUGUUUUCUGUGAACACUGUAAAUUACAGCUAUCAUUGUUAGUUCCUGGAUACUCGACGCAUGACAGAAACAACAGCAGGCCCUGGUGGCUGGGAGGACUUCAUGGAUCCAACAGCAACCUGGAGUUGUGCUCUUCUGAAGAAAUCCUACUCGGAUGGAUAUAAUACAACCUGCUAAGUGUCCUAGCACUUAUCAGGUUGUAUUAUCAUUGUCCGUGUCUAUGGUUCUCAUCUAUCAGACUAAAUUCCUUACGAGCAAGGACAGUGCCUUUGCAUUCACAGUGCCUAAUCAAGUGCACAUUGUAGGUCUCAUUAAAUGUUUGUUGAAUGAAAAAAUGAAUCAUCAACAGACAUUAAUUGGGCACCUGCUCUGUGAUCUCCAUGGGCUCAGCUUGUCCCCACCAGUUGCCUACAACAUCCAAGCUGUCUUCAGUAUGCUUUUUCCUGAAACUUCCUCCUCCUUUCUGCUAAUUCUUUUGCCGUGGACCUUGCUGUAUAAUGAGAGGAUAGCAAAUAUACAUCAAAUACCAUCUCCAGUUGAUUUACAGUGGCUGCCUUGGUUAUCUAUAAAAAUUCUGAAGCCAGGUCUCAGCUCAGUGUGAAUGCUGGUGAUGCUUGGUGAGGGUGGGAGAGGAGGGAGUAGCAGCCCAAGUGCCACAUAUAUGUCAUAUUUAAUACUGUGUUUUCCAUGAAAUACUGUGUUUUUAGACCCUGUAUUUUAGUCUUGGCUGCUUGAAGAUGUUGCGAGGCUGCCACUGCUGCUACUACAAGUACUGCCAGUUGCUCCUUGGGUAGGACCAUGGUGAUCAUUGAGCAGAAACAUUACCUGACAGUGUGGGGUUUGCUUCUGUGGCUUCUAUUCAAUUUUCCCGUUUCAACUUUACUUCAGCUGUCCUCUUAACAUACACUGACAGAUAUGCCUCCACUUCCUAUUCACCACUCAACCAGCUCAUGUUUCCUUUUUCUUAUUUAGUGUGAUUAAUCAUUGUGCUAGGAGAAGCCUUCUUUGUGUUAGAAGAUGUGACAACUAGAGUACAAGUAAAAUCAUGCCAUGAGGGCCCUAGCAUGAGUCAUAUACACUCCUUUUAAUAUGGGAUAAAAUUGAGUGUCAUUGCAGAUUGCACAGCACAAAGGACUGAGAAGGGAAUCGUAGAUGUGGGAGACAGAGAUGAAAACAGAUGGAACAAGAUCCUGAAAGAUGGUGCACGUAGUGGCGGGAGGGUGAAACCUAUGGCUCUAUAACAUGGGUGGAGCUUCAGUCUUAGAUAAAAGGAAUUAGCUUUCCAGUGGAGCAUAGAGAUAGGAAAAGGAGUUAGGAGAAGUACCUGAAGAUUUGUAGAGGAGCAUGAUGGAGAUGAAGUGCACCAGGGACAAGAUUAUAGAGGAAAAAGCAGUCUCUAAAGAAAUAUUCAGGCCUACAGGCCGAAGUGGAACCAUUAACAGAAGAACUCAUGGUAUAUCAAAGGGAGAACCUAGUUGGAAACUUGAACUGAAGCUCAGGAAAAUUUAAAGUGGUCUUGGGCCAGGGUCACAAGUAACAUUUGGUUGCCUUGGACUCACCUUGAUUGAGGGGUGGACAGAUAGCAAGAGAGGAGUUACACAGUAUGGACUUGAGAAUCCAGGCUAUAUGGAAGGAAGUUAGAUCAGAAGAGAGCUCAGAUUCUGUGAACAAAAAGAGGCCUUAGAGUUAAUGAGAUUGAUUUUGAAUACUUGGAAAACUGGCAUGAUAGGGUCUAUGAUCAGUGGAUUUUGAAAUGUUAAGAUUUGAAAACAGGAGUGGUCAAGAUAACCUGUGAAGCUACGAUGUCAGAUGGUUAUUUACAUGGCUAUUGAAGUGAUCCAGGUUUAUAGCAAAAACUGGGCUGGGAACAAACACUAUGAGCCAUAUACAAUAGGCUUCAGUCACUAAGGAAUGAUACGGAGGUUGGCACAUGGCAACUGAAGAUGUAAGAGAAGAGAGGAUGUAGUGGGAUAGUAGUAUGAGUAGUGGUAGGGGUUAUUAGGACGUACAAAACCUGUGGUUUCCGUAUUGCACUGAAGAGUUGGUUGCCGUAAUGCCCAGCUAAAACGAUCCCCUCCUUUUUUUGAGAGCUUGCUCAAUGCCCAGCACCUUGCUAUGUGCUAUUCAUUUACACCUUUUGGGUCUGUCACAUUUCAGGUAUGAUAGAAUGAGCAGCAAUAGCAAGACAGCUGGAGGAGCUGCAGGCCCUAAACACUGAUGGAAUCCUGUGACCAUCUCCUUAACUCUGAAGACCAGCAGACUGGUCAUCUUGAAGUGGCUUAAAAAAAUUUCCUUAGGAUUAAAAUAUUUCCUUCAUCUUGACCUAAGUUUAUUACAUCGUGCACACCUUUGUUGGCUGUGGUCCAUAAUGUACUUUGGCUUCUGAGCCUCUGAGCUGAGGAUUGAGCUAGUACUGCCCCUUGGGAAAAAAUAGGCACAGUACUUUAAAAACAUACUGAUUAACUAUAACAAACACAGUCCAUUUAUCUUAUUGCACUUUUAAGAUAGAGCAGACAAAAGAAAGCUCACAUCAGUGCAUGAAUAACAAAACCACUUUGUAAAAGCCAUUGUAGGGUCUGGAUGCAUCUUGUUUAGUGGGUAUAUUGUAGAUGUUCCCUAUGUUGUUGGGAAGGAGGGCUGAAGAUGAAUGCAGAAAGACAGCCCUUAGAAUUUGGAAGGUAAAGUUUAGAGAAGAGAGUUUCUGAGAACCCUCUGAUACUGUAUGCAGUCAUUUUUCUUCUGUUACAGUCUUCAGAUAAGUCAAUAUUCCAGUAAACAUUGAGAACAACUGCGGUAGAGUGACUAAGCUCUCAGACAGGCUAUCCCCUCCUGUAUAGGCUGCUUCAUAUUCCUCAGGAGAAACUGGUAGAACACUUCAUAUGAGGGAGAAGAAAAGGAAAAAAGCAGAGGAUAACUACAGCUUCUCCAUCUCAGUUCUACAAAGCAUGACUCAGCAGAAGCGUCACUCACUCGAGACUUCAGACCACAGGUUGCUCUUUUCAAUUGUAUGCUUAGCUCUCUUGGCUCAUUUCUCUUUUCAGAAGUUGUACUGUAUGUGUGUAUAUGAACUAUACUUCCCACAAAGAGCACCCCAUGUUCACAACAAAAAACAAUUUCGAAAAUAUGGCAUAAUAAUUGCCCUGUUAGGCCUCCAAUAGUAGAAAUUGCUGGCUCCCAAAUGCUGGAAUGUAGGCCACCAGAGAUGAGUUUGGGUUCAGCAAUAAAGGAUUCCAGCUUCAAGAAAGGAAGACAAUCAGUUGACUCGAAAGUAACCCCUAUUCCUGUGCUCAUAUUCUUUCUUUUUCUGCCCCAUGUAUAUGCCGCUGGGAGUCAGUCUUUAAUUAGCACUUCCUCCCCAUCUCUUAAGACUCAGAGAGGUAUGAAUGCUAAGGUUAGAGUUUAAUUUGUCAUAGCUACCUCUACACUUGGGGAAAUAUUCAGUUAAUCAGCCUGAUACCCUCUUCCACCUGAUCUCAUGGCAGCCAGAAGCUAUAUCUGAGGCCAGCUACCCUAGACUGCAGCCUCAGGAUUUACUUCUUAUGUCUCACCUGAUUGUGAAGUACCACUUAGAGGGCUUGCCCCAGUGCAGUCCCCUGUACUAAAAUGGUUAUAAGAGGUUAGUACUUAGGACAUAGUAUAUAAAGAGGAAAUCUUAAGGGUUAAUAGUAAAUAUCAGGAGUCCUGGUUACUUUUUCUCAAUCUGGAAUGGGCAGAAUAGGGAAUGGGGAAAGUGAAAAGUCUUGUAUCUUUCAAAUACAUUCUCAGUGAUUCCUCAGGACACCCUUGGUCACAUCUGGUGUGGUAUCCUGGGUCUUGCCUCUCAGAGUCCUAGUGCACUCCUUGCUCAACCACCUUUCAUUUCCUACCCUGUCCACCUCAGUGGGUUUCAGCAGGUGUUUUCCUUUCCCUCCUCAAAGCCAUCUGUAACAGUCCCCACCUGGGAGGAGCCUUAUUGUGAAUGAGUGAAUGAACCGCCAGUGUUGGGAGUGUCACUCGUUUUUUUUUUUCCUCUGAAUAUAAUGAGGAGUAGAGGAGGCUAUGAAAUCCCAUAAUGGAGUAACAAAUGCCUGCCAUUUCAGUGGAUGUUGGACCGAGAAACCUGCAUGAAUGAAGGAAGAAGGAAGCAAACCUGUGAUCUUUGAUGUUCAUAAAUGAACAUAGGAGUGAACUCCUUAUUGCCCUUAGCAAUGGAGGGAGAGAGGGGAGGAAAGUGAGGGAAGUCAUAAAAUCCUUUACUUCAGUGGAGUAAUCACUGAGACUUGAUGCAUAAACCGGAAACUUUUUAAGGUGGAUUGGAGAUGAAUUGUUGCACUGCACCACUGCUACUGCUACUUGUGAGAAUCACUGCCAGCCACUUUUCAUCAGGUAGGAUUGCUUUUGUGGAGGUUUCUGGUAACCGCUAUUGAGAAACAAUCCAGAACAAGAUUUGCAACUUAGAAGAGCUCUCCGGUUCAGUGACAGGGUGUUAAAGGAGUCAAGGACAGAAGAGAUAGCGCAAGGGCAGAGGCAGGCUGGGCCAGAGGCAGUGGGCAGAAUGGCUCCAGGCAACCCCAAACACCAGGUAUGGCAUAAGGAAAUAAUACAAUGAAAGGUCAAUCCUUGAACUUAUUAUUUGUUACCUGCCAGAGCAUGAUGGGAUAUCUAAAAUAAAAAGAGCUGCUUUGGAGGAGGGUUAUAAAAGAUGCCUUUAUAGAAGAGAUUUAGAAGAGGGGAAACUUCCAAUUACAUAAGACGGACAUUAUAGUUUUUAAAGAUUUGUCUCUACAUAGGUCAAGGAGAUUGAUACCAGUAUGAGCCUGUGGCUUACAAGGCAAUUUUAACUUACAGGUUUCAUGCUCUUGGAGAGAUGCUGCCACACUCUUUCUCACUUUGGCAGGUGUUCAUCUAUAGUGAGUACCUCAAGGAACAAGAGGACAACAGGCAUCCAAGACACAACAGUAUACACUUCUGAGUGAAGAUUGUGGGCUUGGCUGGAUUGGGCUGGGAUGUUUGUUUUUAAAAAUACAAAGUUUUUUCUUGCUAAAAGUAACAGAUGAUCAUUAAAAAAUAAAGUGAAAGGUAUAAAUUAAAAAGGAACACCUAUAAUCUUACAGCCUAGAAAACAGUAACUCAAAACACUGCUGUAUUUUUUAAAAAGUAACAAUUUUUAAAAAUUGAUAUAUUGUAUAUGUUCUUUAACUUUUUCCAUUUGAAAAUAAACAAGCAUAUUUCCAUGUAAUUAGCAUUCUUUGAAAACUCAGUAUUGUUACAUAAUAAUAUUUCAUAUGGAUCUAACAAAAUUUAGAUGAUUCCAUACUGCUGGAUAUUUUGGAUAUUACCAGUUUUGCCUACAAAAUUAAAAUGUAAUAAACAUUAUUGAACAUUAA